UACAGACCGCUGCCAUAUAGCUGGAAUAUUGCUGAGUGUGGUGUAAAACUAAACUCACUCACUCACUCUUAAGGACCGUUGGUCUAGUGUCUGUUAUAAGUGUUGCUAUUGCCAUGGUCCAGGAUGCAGACCCCUAUGUUCAGAGACCUGUUUCUGUUAUUGACCAAGUCGCAUAGUUGGUAAUGACAGUAGCCUCCAGCAUGGGUGUGACGUGAUCGCAAGAUGGGGACGAGUGACCAUUUUCAACAACUGUUUGGCUUAGAAGAAAACCAGUCUUGGUUCUCAGGCUUUCUAUCAACAAAGCCAUUUUUAACUCACCUGACUGACAGUCAAGUGAGUUAUGUUAUGGCAGAUUGUCUAGUUGUUUGUCUGUUGUUAACAUUGACAUUAUGACAAAGGCUGAAUAAUCUGAAACAUGGUUUGAAUGAUUUUUGGAAUGGUUUCCUUAAAUAAUGCUGACUUGAAUUUAUGUGACUAAAGAAGAUGAGGUUUGACAUGCAGGCUACUUAAAUCCAGUUCCAUAGAAAGCUGUAAGCUUUGUGUAGUAUGAUAAUGACCAAGUUUGUUCAGUUCAUUGUUGAAUCCACUCAUUACAAUGUAGUGAAAGAUCUUUUAAAAAUCAUUCUUUACAUUUAUUGCUUGAGUCUUCUUCACCAAUUUUCCCUGUAAUUCUCUGUAGAUGUUUUUACUAACAUGAGGUUCAAGUGUCAUAAACUUAUUUCUAAAAUCAGGUGAGCUAUAGAGCCAUAUAUAGACAACAUUCUUCAGUCAGCUGUGGAAACAUGUCUCCUUCAAUGUUUUAGAACCAUAGUCUGAGAACCAGAUGGGGUAUUUUUUCAGCCUUGAUAUUUUACCUAGUGAGAGUAUUCCUGUUUGUGCAAUCGUCAUCUACAGACCAAGUCAACCUCAGGCGUUUAUGCCAUGUGACACGUCAUCAGAAAUAUGUUAUACAGUCCAACCAUGUUAACUUCAUUAACUCAGUGUAGCACAUGUGUCUUGUCAUGCUGGCAGAGUCCUUGUGUUUCACAGUGUUUUAUUACUGUCCCUCCGCUUGUUCCAAACUAGUGAUGUUUGUUCAGCACUUGGAGUUAUGGAGUAACAUUUGGAGAUAUAAUGAUGGCUGAAUGCUCCCUGAAGGACUGACCAUUUCAUAUCAGGGGUGGAGCAGCCUGGGAUUUUGUAUGGAAAGUGCAUAUUUUUUCUGGUACAUCUGCAAAACUAAACAUUUAUCAAAUUAAAACUAAGAUAUUUAGUGACAAGAAAACAUCAUGCAACACUGUAUUUUGUGGGUGACAGUUACUUUAACAGUAUAUAUGCAACAGUCUAAAGCAGAAGUAAUGUUUUCAAGUUUUAUUUGAUCAAGUUAAUUUUGGGGGGUGGGGAUAAAAUCUCAGGAUGGCCGCUACCCCCUAAUAUCUAAUAAUCAGCCCUUUAAACUUAAAGGGCCAGUAUGUCGACGGUUCUGUGUGUUUUGAAUUAAUGCAUGAAAUAAUUUCGUGAUUUUGUACUUUAAGUUCAUGUAAGAUUCAUUGCUCAAACCAAAACACUAGAGCUCCACACAGCAAGGCCAACAACCGAGGCACUGCGCAGUAUGACUGGUACAGGCCAUGAUUUUAUUAGACACAAAUUAAAGAGAAAGACCCUUUGUCCUACCAUAGUUACUUCAGGCCAGCCUUGUACGUAUGGCACAUCUUAGCAUCUUACCCAGUCCUUUUGAAAUGUGGCCUGUUUUCAUCUUAUUGACUUUCUUUGGGAAAAUAUCCUUAAAUGUGAAAAACUCUUCCUUUUUCCUUCUUAUCGUUUAUUUACAUUGGUUGUACAGCUCAACCUGUACUCUACAGAGCCACUGAUACAGUCACGUAGAUGCGUCAAGUUAUUUAGUCACGCUGCUCAGUGCUACUGUUGUAAUGGCAUAUCCAUACAAUUAUGCAAAACAAAAUUUAAAGGACACCAAAAUGCUUCCAUUUGGUCCAUCUGUUAUUAUUUAGCAACAUGUGUAUUCUUUACAAACAAGAAAAAGUUUGGUAAUGUGAAAAACCGUUACCGAUGGUCACUGGAGCAGAAUGUUCUGUUGCGGAAUUAGUCGAGCAGAGCCUUGUAGACUCCUAGGUUAUGGGUUACUGUGUACCAGUAAUGUUUCAGAACAGUCGAUGUACUGGUCGGUUUAGUCAACUAGAGGCACAAGUGUGAUACUGCAGAAUUGCACAACUUUGUGAUAUGAGAAGAUGUAGGUUUAGUUUUUGUAACAAGUUUUAUAAGCAUAUCAAGUUAGAAAGGGGAAGCUUGGGGAAUAAGCUUAUCACAAUUAUCCCAUAAAUCAUCAUACAUUACUAUCAGGACGAUGCAAGACUUACAUAGAAGCAUCACAGUAUGUGAUGAUGUCUGCAUUAAUAUGGCAGCAGUUUCAUCUUCAUGGACAUAUGGUCACACUUAGAGUUUCCACUUGUCUGCUACACAGUGGAUCUCCCACACAGCUGCUGGAAGGAUGGGAAAAGUGACAAGUAUGAGUUCUAUCGCUCGUAAACAAGUUUUACUUCCCUGAGUUUUACACCAGAAUCAGGUAGGAAUGUUACCACGUUAACUGACUAAUGUGAAUGUAGUUCCAUUUCCGUGGUUUCCAUGCCCUCUACAGAAGACUUAACGAUUGUCAUCUUAAUUAGUAUAUUUAUAUAUAUGUCAUUCAAAAAUGACACAUUGGGAGCUUCCUAUAGGAAGAUAAUGCAUUGUACUUACUGCAAUGUGUUGCUAACAGCUUUAACCUUCUGUAGUCUGAAGUAAAACUUACUGUCAUAUUGAGUUGUUGAUUGAUAAUUUUACAUGACAGUAACAGGAAAGAUUGUUUAAUGUCUGGCUAGCCAUUUUGUAUUUUUCAGAAUUUGUCAUCAGUCUACUUUCAACAAUUCACAUCUGUUGUCAGAACACUACUUAGCAAAGCAUGGACGUGGUAGGAAAGCUGACAAGUAUUAUGCAGAGUUAAGUUUUGACUUAUCAGUACUUGCAAUGUUUAGGAGCAGUUUUUGUUAUGUGUACUACUUAAUUUAUUAUCUUUGUUCGGUUGUGUUAGUGUUUGCUAUUCCAUAUAUGUAAUGUUGAUGUACUUUCAUCGGGCCUUUUACUCUUGUUUUUCUAGCUUAGCUAGAAGGGUUUCUUUCUUUGAGAUAUUCAGUUGUCGGUUCAAAACUGACCAACCACAGUUUGCCUGAUACACAUGCUAUGUACGGAUAUUUAAAUGAUUACCACCAUUUUCAGGAGGAAGAUGCUUCUAGUUCCGAUUACGAGGCAAUCAGAUUAACUUUUUUAGGUAACAGUUGUCCUAUUUAUAGACAAACAUAUGUAACUUUUAGAUCAAAUUUGGUUAAAUAGAGGAUAUACUCACAUUAAGGAAAAUUAAACAAUAUCAGUAAGAUUUCCAUUAUUGAUUAACUAUAUCUACCAUAUUUCCUCAAUUAUGUGCAGAUGUCUUGAGUAAACACCGUGCGUUUAUUAAUGACAUGUAGUUUAUAUGCAUGGAUAUCUCCCCAUUAUUAUUUUUGUGACUAAACACAAGUUGCAAAGAGUGUAUGGAAGAAAUAUGUACCAGGGUGUUUAAUCGAGGAAAUAUGGUAUGUGUGGAUUGAAGUUUUGCAUAAGGGAAGGUUGUAUUUCAACUUUGAGUGAGAUGUUAUUUCAUAAGCCGUUUAUGACAAAUAACUUAUUUUGUUGAGUUUCAAACUCCACAUAAACUCUUGAAGGGGGAUGGCAAUUUUCUACUGAUCCAUGGAUUUCCGCCAAUUUUAUUUCAAAUUGAUCAUUCUGAUGACACAAUAUUAACUUUUCAGCUGAAAAUAGAUUUUCCUGUUGCCAUCCCUGCUUUCACAAUCAGUAAGUACUGCAGUUAUGAGACGUUUCAUGCUUACUGCAUUCAAAAUGCUGGUGUGUAUUUAUUAUUAUUAUUUUUUUCCCAGACCAUGAGAUUUGUUUAAGGUAAUCUGAACUAGUAUCUGUUUCUUGCACCUCGCCAUAUACAUCUCCAUGUAUAAGAGAUAGUGUUUGUUGAUAGAGUGGCCAGCAUAUCAUUGCCAGUGAAGUUUGUCACUGACUAUAAGAAUCAGGGACCCAUUUCAUGAAGCCAUCAUAGCGCCACAACCAUGUAGUUCAUCUAAAUAAACUCGUAUUCCAGCCAAGGCCUACAUCGAGCAUACCUUGGUAAGGUGCAAAGACGUCUAGUUAUAUGCUGGACUACACAACUGAGUAAUUUUACUUCAUCAUUGACUGACAAUCUACUUAUGAGGAAUGUCUACCCGGCCAACUUGGACACUCACACCAUUAUUUCUCACAUAUUUACAGGCAAGUCAGGCUGAUGCUCUUUCCAAAUCAGCUGACCCUGUCAUUUUAGAAGUGUUUAGGGUCUGGUUAGAGAAUAUGAUUGUUUGAGUCCUCAUAUUAGUAAGUAUUUAUAGUUAUGACAAUUUUCCGCUGAUCCACCUAUUUCUGCAGAUUUUAUUUCAAAUUGUUUAAUUUCGGGGUGGGGGGGUGCUCUUCGAUGGCACAAUAUUAAGUUUUCAGUUGAAAAUAGAUUUUCUUGUUGCCAUCCCUGUAUUCAUGAAACCGGACUCAAGUUAUAUCAAAAAUACAGAUCACAAUGUUACUUGGAAUGAUUUUUCUUUAUUUCAAAAAGCUCAUGUCAUCUUAUUGGAUAAGAACAUCUUUAAAAUGAAAUGAAUAUUUGUCUGAAGAGUCCAUUAGUGACCUAGGGCCACAUUUAACCAGGUGAAUGCAGUACUCAGGCCAUUGUAACUCCCAUACUUUACCACAGACUUACAACAGUCUUAGCUCUACGAUAGCUGUUUGGAUUGGGACCGAGGUCUCUUUGUGUGUGUGGUGUGAGUUCCCAAGAUGUCAAGAUGAUCCAUUCAUUCAAUUGUCUCAUGACGUGAUGAUAGUAAUAGGCAGCUCUGAACUUGAAGAACAAAAUCAGACCUAUGCAAGUCAGUGGCGAAAUAUCUGACCUAUAUUGAUCAGGAACUUAUUCACAAUGUAUUCUCAGCAUUCACUCCAUCGUAAUUCUGUUACCGAGGAUCAUAGUAGUCGUAGUGCUACCAUCCCCUCUUAAAGCAGGGUCAUAGUAGAUUUGUGUGGUAGUGUGUCAAUGGGCGAUAACACAACAUUACUACCAUUUGUCUGGUCUUGCAGCAGUGUA